rnacentral:rRNA from 1 species
AUUGCGAAGGCAGCUUGCGGGAGCACAACUGACGCUGAAGCUCGAAAGUGCGGGUAUCGAACAGGAUUAGAUACCCUGGUAGUCCGCACGGUAAACGAUGGAUGCCCGUUGUCAGGCUGUUUCAGCCUGGUGACCAAGCGAAAGCAUUAAGCAUCCCACCUGGGGAGUACGCCGGCAACGGUGAAACUCAAAGGAAUUGACGGGGGCCCGCACAAGCGGAGGAACAUGUGGUUUAAUUUCGAUGAUACGCGAGGAACCUUACCCGGGCUUGAAUUGCAGAUGAACGAUCCAGAGAUGGUGAGGCCCUUCGGGGCAUCUGUGAAGGUGCUGCAUGGUUGUCGUCAGCUCGUGCCGUGAGGUGUCGGCUUAAGUGCCAUAACGAGCGCAACCCCUGUUCUUAGUUGCCAUCAGGUGAUGCUGGGCACUCUGUAGAUACUGCCACCGCAAGGUGUGAGGAAGGUGGGGAUGACGUCAAAUCAGCACGGCCCUUACGUCCGGGGCUACACACGUGUUACAAUGGCCGGUACAGAGAGUUGAUUUUGUGCAAACACGAUCUAAUCCUUAAAUCCGGUCCCAGUUCGGACUGGGGUCUGCAACCCGACCCCACGAAGCUGGAUUCGCUAGUAAUCGCGCAUCAGCCAUGGCGCGGUGAAUACGUUCCCGGGCCUCGUACACACCGCCCGUCAAGCCAUGAAAGCCGAGGGUGCCUGAAGUCCGUGACCGCAAGGAUCGGCCUAGGGCAAAAUCGGUAAUUGGGGCUAAGUCGUAACAAGGUAGCCGUA